AUGUCCACCUCCUCCGCUGUUCCCUCCUCUGGCAUCAACUACAACACCUCAGAACCUCUCAGCCGGACGAACUAUGUCCUCUGGCGAGCCCAAGCACGAUCCCAGAUACUGGGCGCCGGCUUGUUUGGCUACAUAGAUCGGACUAUCGAGGAGCCUCCAAAAACAAUCAUCAGCAAAGAUAAAGACGGCAAAGAUCAGGUAGUUUCCAACCCUGCUCACAAUCCUUGGCUCGUCCAAGAUCAGCAAAUCGUAGCAUAUCUUCUCCGCAACCUGUCCAAAGAGGUGCUUGUUCAAGUAGCCUCGCUUGAGUCAUCACAUGUGAUUAGGACCGCGCUAGCAAACAUGUUUUCUGCGGUCUCUCUGUCUCGUGUCAAUAACAUCAGCUCGGCCCUCACGAACGCC
rnacentral:rRNA from 1 species